rnacentral:sRNA from 1 species
GUCGGAUGGGGUAGGAUCUGCUGCUGGUGGUGGUGAUACCGGAUCCCCGGCCUAUGGCGCCAGCGCAGCGCUGCCCUCUGUGCCGCCAGACCUUCUUCUGUGGUCGCGGGCACGUUUACAGCCGCAAGCACCAGCGGCAGCUGAAGGAGGCUUUGGAGAGGCUCCUGCCCCAGGUGCGGAGGCAAGGCUAGAGACGGGAUGGGAGUGCCGGGCAGGUCAGUGAAGGCCAGAGCGGGUGUGAUUUGGGGGUCCCCCUCGGGGUUCUGCUUGUACUCUCUGCCGCAGGUGGAGGCGGCCCGCAAGGCCAUCCGCGCCGCUCAGGUGGAGCGCUAUGUGCCCGAACACGAGCGAUGCUGCUGGUGCCUGUGCUGCGGCUGUGAGGUGCGGGAACACCUGAGCCAUGGAAACCUGACGGUGCUGUACGGGGGGCUGCUGGAGCAUCUGGCCAGCCCAGAGCACAAGAAAGCAACCAACAAAUUCUGGUGGGAGAACAAAGCUGAGGUCCAGAUGAAAGAGAAGUUUCUGGUCACUCCCCAGGAUUAUGCACGAUUCAAGAAAUCCAUGGUGAAAGGUUUGGAUUCCUAUGAAGAAAAGGAGGAUGAAGUGAUCAAGGAGAUGGCAGCUCAGAUCCGUGAAGUGGAGCAGAGCCGACAGGAGGUGGUUCGGUCUGUCUUAGAGGUUGGUUUCCCUCGGAGGAUCCAGACCACCUCAGACAGUGCCAGACCCAGAAGAGGGCUCUUCAGCACAUGGAAGCUGGAAAGGGAUAAACAGCCAAGUAGCUUCCAGCUCACAGCAGCCCGCAAACUUGGACCUGCCACCAGCUCCAGAGCUUGACUGGAUGGAGACAGGACCAUCUCUGACAUUCAUUGGCCAUCAGGUACAAAG